CACGUAGGGUGCGAGCGUUGUCCGGAAUUAUUGGGCGUAAAGAGCUCGUAGGCGGUUUGUUGCGUCGGCUGUGAAAUCCCGAGGCUCAACCUCGGGUCUGCAGUCGAUACGAGCAAACUAGAGUGUUGCAGGGGAGACUGGAAUUCCUGGUGUAGCGGUGAAAUGCGCAGAUAUCAGGAGGAACACCGGUGGCGAAGGCGGGUCUCUGGGCAACAACUGACGCUGAGGAGCGAAAGCGUGGGGAUCAAACAGG
rnacentral:rRNA from 1 species